CUAAGCAUAUCAAUAAGCGGAGGAAAAGAAACUAACAAGGAUUCCCCUAGUAACUGCGAGUGAAGCGGGAAAAGCUCAAAUUUAAAAUCGGAUGGCUUUGGCCCUUCGAGUUGUAAUUUAGAGAAGCGUAUUCCGCGCUGGACCGUGCACAAGUCUCCUGGAAUGGAGCGUCAUAGAGGGUGAGAAUCCCGUCUUUGGCACGGACGCACCAGGGCUUCUGUGAUGCGCUCUCGAAGAGUCGAGUUGUUUGGGAAUGCAGCUCAAAAUGGGUGGUGAACUCCAUCUAAAGCUAAAUAUUGGCGAGAGACCGAUAGCGAACAAGUACCGUGAGGGAAAGAUGAAAAGCACUUUGGAAAGAGAGUGAAACAGUACGUGAAAUUGUUGAAAGGGAAACGCUUGAAGUCAGUCGCGUCGACCGAGACUCAGCCUCGCCUCGGCUUGGUGUACUUCUCGGCCGACGGGUCAGCAUCAAUUUUGCCCCUUGGAUAAUGGCGAGGGAAAUGUGACACCUUUGCGGGUGUGUUAUAGUCCCCCGUCGCAUGCAAGGGUCGGGAUUGAGGAACUCAGCACGCGCCUUUGGGCGUCGGGGCUUUUUGCCCACGAUACGUGCUUAGGAUGUUGGCGUAAUGGCUUUAAACGACCCGUCUUGAAACACGGACCAAGGAGUCUAACAUGCCCGCGAGUGUUCGGGUGGAAAACCCGUGCGCGCAAUGAAAGUGAAAGUUGGGACCUCUGUCGUGGAGGGCACCGACGCCCGGACCAGACCUUCUGUGACGGAUCUGCGGUGGAGCGUGUAUGUUAGGACCCGAAAGAUGGUGAACUAUGCCUGAAUAGGGUGAAGCCAGAGGAAACUCUGGUGGAGGCUCGUAGCGAUUCUGACGUGCAAAUCGAUCGUCAAAUUUGGGUAUAGGGGCGAAAGACUAAUCGAACCAUCUAGUAGCUGGUUCCUGCCGA
rnacentral:rRNA from 1 species